GACGAACGCUGGCGGCGUGCCUAAUACAUGCAAGUAGGACGCAGUUGCGAUCGGGUGAGUAACGCGUAGGUGACUACCUAUUAUAGGGGGCUAACUAUUGGAAACGAUAGCUAAUACCGCAUACUAGUAGAUGGAUCUGCGUUGUAUUAGCUAGUAGGUAGGGUAAUGGCCUACCUAGGGAACGAAACAUAGCCGACCUGGGAGGGAGAUCGGCCACACUGGGACUGAGGAACGGCCCAGACUCCUACGGGAGGGAGCAGUAGGGAAACUUCGGCAAUGGGGGGAAACCUGACCGAGCAAAGCCGCGGGAGUGAAGAAGGUUCUCGGAUCGUAAAGCUAUGUUGUUAAGGAAGCGGUACUUAAACAGAAAGGGACGGCUAACUACGUGCCAGCAGCCGCGGUAAUAC
rnacentral:rRNA from 1 species